rnacentral:lncRNA from 1 species
AAAAUACCUAUAAAGCCAAAAACCCCAAAAUCCGCUUUGCUCUUGCUUGCAGCCUCUAGGGUUGCUCGAAAAGCCUCCUCUCUUUCUAGCCGUUCUCUCACUCUCUUUGGCUUCCUCUCUUUUUGCCUCCAAGACUCCUUUGUGGACAUUUGUAGCUGCAAGUGGUGAAGCACACCUCUGAGAUCCUGCAAUAGUGUGUUAUCCUUCUCUCCACUUAUCUUCACCUUCAGCUAGUUGUACCAAGACUUCUCUUCCUUGCAUUGUCUUUUUCUCUAGAGGCUUUUGCAUUCUUCCGUAAUCGAAUAUGAGAAUCUAUGUGUUGCUUCUCUUGUUUAUGGUUUUAGGUCCUACUGUUUUUUGCUUGAUUUUUUUAGCUUUUAAUAAUAAAGUGAGGUGGGUUGAUUUCGGGUCUCUAACUUUGGGCCAUAAUUUAUCUGGGUGGAAUAAUUUUGGGAAGGUUUUUUAUAUUUUAACUAAUCUGUAAAUAUUUUGCACAUGGGCGACAUCGCUUUGGUGUCUAUACUUAAUACACAUCCUUUUUUAUCUUAAAAAAAAUAAUAAAUCGAGGUGGGUUAAAGUCUUAUGUGUAUAUAUAUAGAGCAACGUAUAAAAAAAUAAUUGCAAAAAUAAAAGCGAUUUAUUUUUUUAUUUAUAUGUAUAAGUUAUAUUAAUUAUAUAUAUAAUGGAGUUAAUGAAUUUUGUUUGAAUGAAAAAAAGGGCUAGUUCGAUGCCUGUUGUGUCUACUCCAAUUAAAGAAAUUUAGCUGUUACAAGAUGUUCUUUUCACUAAAAUUGUAAUAGUUCAUGGUACAAAAUCUAAUUUAGUCACAACAAUCCCACCACACAUUAAUGAACUAGAUAUUUCCUGCUUAAUAAAAAAAUAUAGAUCGGUCACUGCUACCUCAUAAUACACCUGCAAAGUGCCGAACUUUACAUGUUCAAUGAGAUUCCAAUUCGUGACCUUCAAGUGGAGUGUCUUAAUCAUUAGAUCAUCGUGCUAAUGGUGCAUGAGGUGUAUUGGUUAGAAAAAGGUAAUGUUUGUGGGGUAGUUGCAGAUGACGAUAAGGGCAUGUGGAUGUGAACUAUGUUAUCGUGUUGCAAAAUUCUUGACAUUUGACAAUUUUAGGCAUUACCUACACUAUUGGUCCAUGAUACACCCGUAAAAUGGCGAAUUGUACAUCUUUUAAUGAAAUUCAAAUAUUGCACACUUUUUAUCUAAAAAAAAAAAUCAUAUUUUACUAUGAAUAGUAUUCUAAUCUAAUUAAUUUUAGUUCUUAGUCUAAUGCUACCCGAGAAUGAUUUGACUCUAUAAAUACAUUUGUAAUUUAUUUACUAUCAUAAUUCAGUUAUUCAAUAAAAUGUUUCGAGAUUUUUUCAGUUUUGUGAUUGUAUAAUACAAUUAAACCCUGCGUAUGAUGAUUAAGACAUUUUAGAUUUGAUAUUGAAGAAACCUUAGCUAUGAUGGUUAGGUUCUUAUCUCCAAAUCCCUAAGUAAACAAAUUAGUCCUGAUUUAUCCUGCAUUACACCAAUAUCAGAUUAUUUCAUAGCUUAGCUAGUCACCGAAUAUUAUGUUCAACUAGCAUAGUUAGGUAGUUAGCAUGGGGGAUGCAAACUAUGGUAUAAAGUUGGAAAUGGACCGCCAGGUUCUUGAGCGUAAUGGUAAUAUUUAAUAGACAAUGCAAGGAUUUUUUGUUAUCACUAAGCAUGUUAUUUUUUCAGAGACUUUUGGGUUUUGCCUCUUUGGAGGUUAGAUAAGGAUUGGAUUAGAGGCAAAUUUGAGUAGCAUGGGAGACAAACUUCUGUCCUAAUGGUUUUUCUUUGGCAUUCUUGUUGUAGA